UGUUUAUUAGUUUCAUACAUAUAUACAUUCACUGUGAUACUAAUUAAUUAAGUCUAACUUAACUUGUUGAAUUAACAUCUAAUGCUUUUACUCUCAAUACAUACUGCAAAGUAUUGCAACUAACACCACUAUUUAUUGUGAUGUCAGCCUUUAAUCGAGUCCAGAUUCAUUAUGAUUUGUCAUUUGAGCAUCUAGCUUGCCUAGUGAACAAAAAUUGCAGCUUGGUUAAGAUGACUACAAUUCAAGAAGUAAGAUUGGAACUACUUGAUGCAUUACCAACCACAAGUAGUCAUUCUUUCAAAGGCAUUUGAUGACUAACUAGUUGCAUCACUCAUGAUGUCACUAUGUUUUCUUGGGUUGCUCCAAAGAUGAUGCGCAUUGUAGAC